UGGGGAAUAUUGCACAAUGGGCGCAAGCCUGAUGCAGCCAUGCCGCGUGUAUGAAGAAGGCCUUCGGGUUGUAAAGUACUUUCAGUCGGGAGGAAGGUGGUAAGGUUAAUAACCUUGGCAAUUGACGUUACCGACAGAAGAAGCACCGGCUAACUCCGUGCCAGCAGCCGCGGUAAUACGGAGGGUGCAAGCGUUAAUCGGAAUUACUGGGCGUAAAGCGCACGCAGGCGGUUGAUUGAGUCAGAUGUGAAAUCCCCGGGCUAAACCCGGGAAUUGCAUCUGAUACUGGUCAGCUAGAGUCUUGUAGAGGGGGGUAGAAUUCCAUGUGUAGCGGUGAAAUGCGUAGAGAUGUGGAGGAAUACCGGUGGCGAAGGCGGCCCCCUGGACAAAGACUGACGCUCAGGUGCGAAAGCGGGGGGAGCAAACAGG
rnacentral:rRNA from 1 species